AGUGAACGCUGGCGGUAGGCCUAACACAUGCAAGUCGAACGGAAGCACAGUAAGCGCUUGCUCUUACGGGUGGCGAGUGGCGGACGGGUGAGGCAUACAUCGGAAUCUACUUUUUCGUGGGGGAUAACGUAGGGACACUUACGCUAAUACCGCAUACGACCUACGGGUGAAAGCAGGGGAUCUUCGCACCUUUCGCGAUUGUAUGAGCCGAUGUCGGAUUAGCUAGUUGGCGGGGUAAAGGCCCACCAAGGCGACGAUGCGCAGCUGGUCUGAGAGGAUGAUCAGCCACACUGGAACUGAGACACGGUCCAGACUCCUACGGGAGGCAGCAGUAGGGAAUAUUGGACAAUGGGCGCAAGCCUGACCGAGCAAUACCGCGUGAGUGAAGAAGGCCUUCGGGUUGUAAAGCCCUGUUAUUGGGAAAGAAAAGCAGCAGGUUAAUACCCCGAUGUUCUGACGGUACCCAAAGAAUAAGCACCGGCUAACUUCGUG
rnacentral:rRNA from 1 species